rnacentral:rRNA from 1 species
AAUUUAUUGAGAGUUUGAUCCUGGCUCAGGAUUAACGCUGGCGGCAUGCCUAAUACAUGCAAGUCGAACGAGGUAGCAA